rnacentral:tRNA from 1 species
UGCCAUAUAGCCAAGCGGUAAGGCACGGGAUUUUGAUUCCUGUAUCACCGGUUCGAAUCCGGUUAGGGUAG